rnacentral:rRNA from 1 species
CGCGGCCUAUCAGCUUGUUGGUGGGGUAAUGGCCUACCAAGGCGACGACGGGUAGCCGGCCUGAGAGGGCGACCGGCCACACUGGGACUGAGACACGGCCCAGACUCCUACGGGAGGCAGCAGUGGGGAAUAUUGCACAAUGGGGGAAACCCUGAUGCAGCGACGCAGCGUGCGGGAUGACGGCCUUCGGGUUGUAAACCGCUUUCAGCAGGGAAGAAGCGAAAGUGACGGUACCUGCAGAAGAAGUACCGGCUAACUACGUGCCAGCAGCCGCGGUAAUACGUAGGGUACGAGCGUUGUCCGGAAUUAUUGGGCGUAAAGAGCUCGUAGGUGGUUGGUCACGUCUGCUGUGGAAACGCAACGCUUAACGUUGCGCGUGCAGUGGGUACGGGCUGACUAGAGUGCAGUAGGGGAGUCUGGAAUUCCUGGUGUAGCGGUGAAAUGCGCAGAUAUCAGGAGGAACACCGGUGGCGAAGGCGGGACUCUGGGCUGUAACUGACACUGAGGGGCGAAAGCAUGGGGAGCGAACAGGAUUAGAUACCCUGGUAGUCCAUGCCGUAAACGUUGGGCACUAGGUGUGGGGGACAUUCCACGUUCUCCGCGCCGUAGCUAACGCAUUAAGUGCCCCGCCUGGGGAGUACGG